rnacentral:sRNA from 1 species
CCUCAUCAUUUCUGGGGUAACCUCAUCUAUACGUGAUCUUUCCUUCAUUCCUGGGGUGACCUCAUCUGUGUGGGACACAUCUUCACCAUUCCGGGGGUGAUUUAUGGAUGGAGGAAGAAGGAAUAGCUGGAACUCGUGAUGCUCUUGCGUAUGGUGGAAGAGGUUUGUUAUAGACACAAGAGAGUAAGAAUAUUACAGAGGCACCUGGGAGAGUCCAGAGUGAACAUUGUCAGACUGAGCUGGGCCAUGUGAGGAGAGAGAAGCAGGGAAAGCAAGGGAGGAUCUACUAACAAAGAGCGGAAACCUGGGCUAACAGAUGAUGCAGCCCAAAUGGAGCCAGAGAAACUGAGGGAAGGGAAAACCCAGCCCAGUCUCUUGGCUGAAGAGGUACAGCAUGGAGUAUGCCAGCCAGGAGGACCCUGGAACAGCCAGACCGGAUGCUUGCCCACUCGGAGACCCCAGUCUCAUCUGUCUAUAACAUCUCCACACUAAUACGUGACUUCCAGAGACUCCGGGUGAGGCAUUGGAGACCAGCCAGAAGCCCUUUUCAAAGACCUUGACUUUCACGUGACCUUUUCACCCUCGAUGGACAGAACAGACGAGUGACUGGCUUCGCUGCAACAGGACAGCGACGUGACCUCUCAGCAUCCUGGUCCACCCGCAUGCCUGCCUGCUGCCUCUUCCCUGCCAUUACGGAUGCUAAUCCUCUGGAACCACAAGACAACAUAACAACAAGUCCUCUUCCUUAGGUUGCCUUGGUCAUGGUAUCCUGUCACAGCGACAGAAAAGUACUGAAUAUGAGGGACAACCCGAUUGUGUGUUUGCGUCGAGCUAUCUCAAAGACACGAUCCAGUCUACGGAUUGACUGACUGCCCUUGUACGUCCGUACCCAUGCGAACGAGCACAGCACGAUCACAGAAGAACGAGCCUCGGUGAACAGUGAAUGCCUUGAGGGAACUGUGGGAGAGGCUCCAGGAGAAAAAGGCUGAGGGCCUUUACCUCAGGGGCAUCUUGUUCCCUGGAUUGUUCUUGGAUGUGAUUUUGUGUUUCCUGUGUUAAACAUUUACGUUCAAUUCAUAAGACUUGUUUGUUCUUGUUGGAUGUCUGAACAUAGCUGUAGAACCCAAAUCUGGUCAGUGUACCUUGAAUCUGGACAUGGCCUUCUGCCUUGCUUCCCUGCUUUCCCGGAUCUAGUCUAGUACGUUCUAGGUAAUUGUGUUUAAACUGGUCUGUCCUGAGAAAGUUCUGGGGACAGGCUGCUCUGCUAAUAUUUAGUAUGUGCUUACUGGUGUUAAUUUGCAUGUUUUUCUGAACUCUAACAGCCUUCCUUGAAUCCUUCCUUUCUUUUUUAUGUUGGGUCUAAAGUACACUGAAAGUAAGGAGGUUACCUACAGUUUCAGACUCUAGUAUGCCCCAUUCUUUCAGGUCCUCGGAUUCCAAGUCCAGCAGACAAGGUCUGCACGAGUUGAUGCAAAUCAUCACGGGAUAACCUUUCUUCUGUUUGUUUUGGUUUUGUUGUUUAAGACCCAGUCUCCCAUAGUUCAGAGACUUGAACUGAAUAUACAGCUAAGGACAGUCCCCUUGCCCCUACCUCCCAAGAGCUGGGAUUGUAGGUGUGCACCUCCUUCUGGUUUACUCAGCGCUGGGACAUUAAUCUAGGAAAACGGGCCUGCCAGUCAUCAUGCACGCUAGGCAAGUUUUAUACGGACUGAGCUACCCCCCCACCAGCCCUCGGUAUCCAUUUUUUUUUUAAACCAUCUGGAGAAACAAGUUGGGGAAUAAAUUACAUAGGAAUUUGGAAAUAAAAAGAAUAAAUAUAUGUGCCAGAACCAUUUUAAUACUGAAGGUUUUUUAAAUGUAGCUGACAGCGUUAUUAAAAUGUAUUGCGAUGGUUGCAAAAAUCAAACUGUUAAGGCUUUUAGAAGGGACUACAGCUUUCUUCUUUUCUUUAAGUGUAUUCUUUAAUGUGAAUCAAGGGUGGCUGCUGGCAGUAUCGGCCCACACACUCAAGUGUACAAAAAAUGCUGUCCAGUGGGUGAAUAGGGCCAAUAUGGAGGGUCCGGGUCGCGGUAUUAAAUAAUUCCCAUCA